rnacentral:rRNA from 1 species
CAGUAGCCGCGGUAAUACGUAGGUGGCAAGCGUUGUCCGGAAUUAUUGGGCGUAAGGGGCUCGCAGGCGGUUUCUUAAGUCUGAUGUGAAAGCCCCCGGCUCAACCGGGGAGGGUCAUUGGAAACUGGGAAACUUGAGUGCAGAAGAGGAGAGUGGAAUUCCACGUGUAGCGGUGAAAUGCGUAGAGAUGUGGAGGAACACCAGUGGCGAAGGCGACUCUCUGGUCUGUAACUGACGCUGAGGAGCGAAAGCGUGGGGAGCGAACAGGAUUAGAUACCCCAGUAGUCCCUGUCUCUUAUAA